rnacentral:rRNA from 1 species
UGGCCUCUGCUUGCAAGCUACCACUCAGAGAUGGGCCUGCGCGCCAUUAGCUAGUUGGCGGGGUAACGGCCCACCAAGGCGAUGAUGGCUAGCUGGUCUGAGAGGAUGACCAGCCACACUGGGACUGGAACACGGCCCAGACUCCUACGGGAGGCAGCAGUGGGGGAUAUUGCGCAAUGGGCGAAAGCCUGACGCAGCGACGCCGCGUGGGUGAUGAAGGCCUUCGGGUCGUAAAGCCCUGUCGAGGGGAACGAAACGAUUUCGACCUAACACGUCGAGAUCCUGACGGUACCCCUAAAGGAAGCACCGGCUAACUCCGUGCCAGCAGCCGCGGUAAUACGGAGGGUGCGAGCGUUGUUCGGAAUCACUGGGCGUAAAGGGCGUGUAGGCGGUCCGCUAAGUCUGAUGUGAAAGCCCGGGGCUCACCCCCGGAAGUGCAUUGGAAACUGACGGACUCGAGUCCCGGAGAGGAGGGUGGAAUUCCUGGUGUAGCGGUGAAAUGCGUAGAUAUCAGGAGGAACAUCGGAGGCGAAGGCGGCCCUCUGGACGGUGACUGACGCUGAGACGCGAAAGCGUGGGGAGCAAACAGGAUUAGAUACCCUGGUAGUCCACGCCGUAAACGAUGAGCACUAGGUGUCGUGGGUAUUGACCCCCGCGGUGCCGCAGCUAACGCAU